rnacentral:rRNA from 1 species
AUUGAACGCUGGCGGCAUGCCUUACACAUGCAAGUCGAACGGUAACAGGUCUUCGGAUGCUGACGAGUGGCGAACGGGUGAGUAAUACAUCGGAACGUGCCUAGUAGUGGGGGAUAACUACUCGAAAGAGUGGCUAAUACCGCAUGAGAUCUGCGGAUGAAAGCAGGGGAUCGCAAGACCUUGUGCUACUAGAGCGGCCGAUGGCAGAUUAGGUAGUUGGUGGGAUAAAAGCUUACCAAGCCGACGAUCUGUAGCUGGUCUGAGAGGACGAUCAGCCACACUGGGACUGAGACACGGCCCAGACUCCUACGGGAGGCAGCAGUGGAGAAUUCUGGACAAUGGGCGCAAGCCUGAUCCAGCAAUGCCGCGUGCAGGAUGAAGGCCUUCGGGUUGUAAACUGCUUUUGUACGGAACGAAAAGCCCUGGGUUAAUACCCUGGGGUCAUGACGGUACCGUAAGAAUAAGCACCGGCUAACUACGUGCCAGCCGCCGCGGUAA